rfam:Staphylococcus sp. HMSC078E07 Staphylococcus_spHMPREF2905-1.0_Cont28.1, whole genome shotgun sequence.
AUUUAUCAAAUUUUUAAACAAUUCUAACUAUUCAAAUAAUCAUCCAUUCAAGAAAGGAGUAUAAUACCAUGCAAUCAUUUACAUAUUCACUGUCACCACUAGAAAAUUUAAUUAUUUUAUUAUACUCUUCAGGGCUGGAACUUUAGUAGCUUAAUUUACUAAAUGUUUAAGUCCUAUUUCUCAUUGAAUGGGACUUAAAAA